UUGUUUGCCGAGUCAGGAGAAGCUUUAUAUUACACAGAGUGCAUCAGGACAUUUACCUGCUAUAAGGGCUGAAGUCUCAAGCAAAGUCUUCCUUUUUGCUUGUUUGGAAACACAAUAGAGUUUAUGAGGCCUCAGGAAAAGGAGACCAGUCCAGAACUGACUCUAAUCUCAUUUCUUGAAUGAUUUUUGAGCGAUACGCAAACUCAACAAUCUGAUAUCAGACAAUAGUAGGUACUCAGUAGAUUUUGGAUCAACACAGAUGUUUACUGGAAACGCUGAUAUUUCCCAAAUUAAUAUGAUUUUUUUUUUUACCAUAGAUUUCCACGUGUGUGUGCAUAGAUAAAUCACUAGGCAUGGAAGUGACCUAAUCGAGAUGUGAGACUGAGGCUAGCAUUGUGUAUUUAAGACCAGGGGUCCCCAAACGUUUUCUUGUGAGGGCCACAUAACUGUUUUCGUCUCUCGUGUGUGUCUCAAGUUAUUGAUUUGAUUACAUGGUUGACGUUAACAAAAACGCUGUGAAGAAUUGAGGAUCCCAUUGGCAAGACAGUAAGUAGCGAUUUUAUUUUUUCUUUUGUUUGUUUGUUUGUUUUUUGUAUUAACAUUCACAAAACUUUACAGUGAUGAUUUAAUGCUGAACUGAUUUUAUUCUGAGCCAAAACAAUAUAUAUAUGGUUAAUAUUCCAAUUAUUUUAUUAAAUAAAUUGGUUCCACAUUGUUCCCUGUUUCACAGGGAAGGUAUUUAGUGUGACACACCCUCCCUUCACCAGAAACUGCCCCUCCCCCCUCAGUUGGAUCGACCAGUCUGUGCCGUUUUUAGCGCCAAUUGUGAUCGCGCGUUUUCCCGUCAUCCAGUGGGAGCUGCGCUGUGUUGGAGGCAGUGAAUAUUCAGAUUUGAGUCUUCCUGCUUGUGCAUCAGCGACCAUACUGAACCCGUCACAAGCGCACUGGGAGGAUGACAGACAAGUUCUCAGCGUGUCGAACUGGAGUAGAGAAUACUCCCUACUGGCAACAGGCGGCGAGCUCCUCCAGGAUGCGGACGAAAACUCUGAACGCACCCCCGAACUCAUAAGGUGUGGCUGUGGAGAAGAAAGGCACCCCCACAGAAAACUCGAGAUAUGUGCUAAAGAGGCGCGGCGCUCCAUCACAGCGCCGACGCCAGAUGCCGCUUGGCGCUCCUCUCAUUGCAGAUGUAAUGGGCCUGAAUGCUGCAGUUUGUGACUCACCUGCAUCCAUCCUGUGUUUGGUAACACCAGAGGAUAAACAAGAGAGCUGCAGCAGCAGAGACAGACGGAGAGAGAGAUGUAAUUAUCUUCCAUUAUCACCAGCUCUUUUAUUUCCUGCUGCAGCAAAGGGAAAUCUCCUGAAGAAGAGCAAUCAAAGCAGGAGGAGCAUCUGCGUGAGAGGAAACGGCGUCUUUCUUUGUCUGUUGGUGGUUUUUUUCAUCUCAGGUUUGGAUUAUGAACUUUCAGCAUCACUCCCUCUGAUUUGAUAAAUGUUCCUCAAGUUCCAAUUGAAUUUGGACAGUUUUUAAAGAUUUUUUAACCCUUUGAAUGUUUUUUGGACGAAUUCUCCAAAAGAGUGUUUUGUGGAAAUUUAAUAACUCGAAUGCAUCUCAUUUUUUUCCUGUCAUUCUAUUCUGAUAACAACUGCUAACACAUCUCAGUUUCACACAAAAGGCACUACACGUUUUGUAAGAAGUUUAUGUGGCAACAGUAUAACAUAAGAUUCCUUUUAGGUUAAGUUCUAAGACAUUAAAUAUUAGUCAUCUGUUUAAAGCCUCUAUAGGACAUUUGUAAGUAUUUAUUCCUGUCUUUCUAAUACUCUAUAUAAAUAUUAAUAUGGUGCAUAUUAGGAAAUGUAUUUGCAUUUGUGAAGCCAAUUAUAGGAUUAUUAUGAAAGAUCAAUGAUCAUUUAUUGAUGUUUUUCUAAUGCCUUACAAGAGUUUAUAUUCGUGCUGUUGAUCGAUUAAAAAAAUUAAUCAGA